rnacentral:rRNA from 1 species
CCUACGGGAGACAGCAGUAGGGAAUCUUUCACAAUGGGUGAAAGCCUGAUGGAGCAACGCCGCGUGCAGGAUGAAGGCCUUCGGGUUGUAAACUGCUUUUAUAAGCGAGAAAUAUGAUGGUAACUUAUGAAUAAGGAUCGGCUAACUACGUGCCAGCAGCCGCGGUCAUACGUAGGAUCCGAGCAUUAUCCGGAGUGACUGGGUGUAAAGAGUUGCGUAGGUGGCAUAAUAAGUAGCUAGUGAAAUCUGGUGGCUCAACCAUUCAGACUAUUAGCUAAACUGUUAAGCUCGAGACCGUUAGGGGUAACUGGAAUUUCUAGUGUAGGAGUGAAAUCCGUAGAUAUUGGAAGGAACACCAAUAGCGUAGGCAGGUUGCUGGGACGGUUCUGACACUAAGGCACGAAAGCGUAGGGAGCAAACGGGAUUAGAUACCCCGGUAUC